AAUAGAUACCCCGGUAGUCCACGCCGUAAACGAUGAGUGCUAAGUGUUAGAGGGUUUCCGCCCUUUAGUGCUGCAGCUAACGCAUUAAGCACUCCGCCUGGGGAGUACGGCCGCAAGGCUGAAACUCAAAGGAAUUGACGGGGGCCCGCACAAGCGGUGGAGCAUGUGGUUUAAUUCGAAGCAACGCGAAGAACCUUACCAGGUCUUGACAUCCUCUGCCAACCCUAGAGAUAGGGCGUUCCCCUUCGGGGGACAGAGUGACAGGUGGUGCAUGGUUGUCGUCAGCUCGUGUCGUGAGAUGUUGGGUUAAGUCCCGCAACGAGCGCAACCCUUGAUCUUAGUUGCCAGCAUUCAGUUGGGCACUCUAAGGUGACUGCCGGUGACAAACCGGAGGAAGGUGGGGAUGACGUCAAAUCAUCAUGCCCCUUAUGACCUGGGCUACACACGUGCUACAAUGGAUGGUACAAAGAGCUGCGAACCCGCGAGGUAAGCGAAUUCAUAAAGCCAUUCUCAGUUCGGA
rnacentral:rRNA from 1 species